AACCAAUAUGUAAUGGCGGUCUUUAUAACCUAGAGAAACUCGCUUUUUAAUCGAAAACACCCGUUAAUUUUUACUUCACUUAAUUAGCCUAUAUACCGCCGUUUAGAGCUUAAUAAAAAAUAAACCCCAUAACCUCACACACAAAAAAUCAGGUCAAGGUGUAGUUGAUAGUGAAGAAAAAGUAAGUUACAUUAAAAAUAAUUUAAGGAUUUAAUACAAAAAUAAAACUGAAAAAGAAUUUAAAUGUACGUGGCAGUCAAAAACUAACU
rnacentral:rRNA from 1 species